GAGGCCUGCCUGCCCAGUGACAAACGUUCAACGGCCGCGGUAUCCUGACCGUGCAAAGGUAGCAUAAUCACUUGUUCCUUAAUUGGGGACUGGAAUGAAUGGCCUCACGAGGAUUCAACUGUCUCUUACCUCUAAUCAGUGAAAUUGACCUCCCCGUGAAGAGGCGGGGAUAUAAUAACAAGACGAGAAGACCCUAUGGAGCUUUAAUUUUCUGUCUUAACUACUAAAUAACUAACCCUACUGGGAUAAAAAAAAAGAGAAAUAAGUCAGUAAUUUCGGUUGGGGUGACCUCGGAGAAUAAGACAACCUCCGAAUGAUUUUAACCAAGACAAACAAGUCAAAGUAUUAAAAAUCAAAUUGACCCAAUUCAUUUGAUCAACGGACCAAGUUACCCUAGGGAUAACAGCGCAAUCCUAUUCAAGAGUCCAUAUCGACAAUUAGGGUUUACGACCUCGAUGUUGGAUCAGGACAUCCCAAUGGUGCAGCAGCUAUUAAUGGUUCGUUUGUUCAACGAUUAAAGUCCUACGUGAUCUG
rnacentral:rRNA from 1 species